UGGCGCCCGAACAGGGACCUGGAAACGAGGGACUCCGUGAGGAAGAGGAUGCCAAAGGACGGUCGACCGCUAACGAAGACAAAAGGAGUCAAACUCUUCCGAUCACCGCGGGAACCUGCCGCGUCAGAAUCGAAGGUAAGUGACGCGUCCGAAAUGGGACAAGAAUUAAGCCAACAUCAAAUAUAUGUAGGACAAUUAAAAGAGGCUUUAAAGAUACGAGGAGUAAAGGUUAAAGGUAAUGAUUUGUUUAAAUUUUUUGAUUNNNNN
rfam:Macaca mulatta chromosome 10, whole genome shotgun sequence.